AUGCACAAGUUUUAACAGCCGAAUUGAUCAAGUAGAAGAAAAGAUAUCAGAGAUUGAAGAUCAACUCAAUGAAAUAAAAUGAGAAGGUGAGACUAGAGAAAAAAGAGU